rnacentral:rRNA from 1 species
AGCGAACGCUGGCGGCAGGCCUAAUACAUGCAAGUCGAACGGUCUCUUCGGAGGCAGUGGCGGACGGGUGAGUAACGCGUGGGAAUAUGCCCUUUGGUACGGAACAACUGAGGGAACUUCAGCUAAUACCGUAUGUGCCCUUCGGGGGAAAGAUUUAUCGCCAUUGGAGUAGCCCGCGUUGGAUUAGGUAGUUGGUGGGGUAAAGGCCUACCAAGCCUACGAUCCAUAGCUGGUCUGAGAGGAUGAUCAGCCACACUGGGACUGAGACACGGCCCAGACUCCUACGGGAGGCAGCAGUAGGGAAUCUUGCGCAAUGGGCGAAAGCCUGACGCAGCCAUGCCGCGUGAAUGAUGAAGGUCUUAGGAUUGUAAAAUUCUUUCACCGGGGGAAGAUAAUGACGGUACCCGGAGAAGAAGCCCCGGCUAACUUCGUGCCAGCAGCCGCGGUAAU